CUCACCCCUAGAAGAUACAGAAAGCUGAGUAUGGAGCAGUAUCAGUAGCAAGACAAAUGGCAACCUUAUUCUAGCUGUGAAAUGGACCAACACCAAGCUCUUGACAAUAUUCAAGAGGCAUCAUCUUGAUGUGAGACAUGAAACUCUGGAAAACAGAGGUGAGCUAGCAGGACCAGUUUUUUCACAUCUUCAACCCAGAUUUGAUAAACUCUGCAUUUUGGGGUGAGAGAUGUAAGAGCAAGAAUAUGAUAUCAAAUCUGGAUGCUGCAUUUUAAGUAGAACAUUGAAAAAUUAUAAAGUGCUCAGUAUGUGAAGACUGGAAAUAAUCUCCAACACGCAAUAAGAAAGAUGUGGGAUAAUUUUGCCUGGAGAAGAUAAAGCUAAGAAGAAUAUGGGAAUGAUCUUCAAAUAUCUGGAGAGCUGUUAUGAAAAAAGUGAGCCCAUUUUGGGUAGGGGCACCCACAGUGGAGUUAGAGCUGAAGCACUGGCUGUGAUCCCCACCUGCCACUCACUGACUAGAAGACUUUGGACCAUUUACCUAAUCUCUCUGUGGCACACAGCGUUGUCCAAAAAGUGGCUGCAAUAAUGCCUCUGGUCCUACUUGCUCUUUGAUUCCAUCAAGAGAUAGGGUCUCCGUCCUCUUCUUUUGACCUUGAGUGGGCCUGUAUGACUGCACUGACUAGAAGAGCACAGUAGAAAUGAUGCUAUGUGACUUCCAAGACUAUGUCAAAAAAGCCAUUUGGCUUCUGCCUGGCUCUGUCUUGCAGCACUUGCUUUUGGAGCCCUGAGCCACCAUGUUGAGAAACCCAGAUACCCUGAUGCUGCCAUGCCGAGAGACAAGUGGAGAGACUAUAUGGAGGCGGAGAUGCUCCAGGCACUCCAGCGGCGGUCUGAUUACAACUGUAAGAGAGAUGCUCAGAGAACAGUCGCAAAAAUUGAGAGAUGAUAAAAUGAAUCUGCUAAGGGUAGGAGUGGCUUAUUACAUAGCAAUAGACCACUGGGACAUUCUCUGAGCCUUACUUGUAAAGAGAUUAUGAUCCUGAGCUAUAGAGAGAUUGUUGUACCAGGUAAAUGAGAUGCUCCAUAUCAUGGUUUCAUACCCACACUGAGUACCUUAAUCAUGACUGCUUCACAGGAUGGGAUGGAUACCAGAAGCACAGGAGGCAGAUGUUGGCUUAUCCUGGAAGGAUCAUUUUAGCAUUAGAACUGUCAAACAGGACAGGAGCCACUUCAGGAAGUGUGCCCCAAGGACUGCAGAUAUUUAGGCUGGAUGCUCAUGAAUGUGUCAAGGUUGUCCCUCAUAGGACACUUGUAGUGGGUAAGAGUCAGACAUGCAAGCAGGUGAAACCUUUGAUCCUGGAUUGAACUUGUUUUGCUAUAAUUUUGAAGCUCCUCUUUCUUUAGGCAUGCAUGGAACUAGCAUUGUUAUACCGUACAUGUAUCUCUGUAAACAACCUCAUAUCCUUUUUGUAACAAGACAGAACAGAUAAAAACAAACAGAAACCAUCUACUAAUAUUUAGCAAAAAAAUGACUCUGGGGAUUCCAUAGAAAGCUCAUUCCACAAAUAUUUAAAAUAUGUUAAACAAUAACUCUUAAGUUAUGGUGAGAGUUAAUAAAAGACCUCUG
rnacentral:lncRNA from 10 species